CCAAUAGCGUAUAUUAAAGUUGUUGCAGUUAAAAAGCUCGUAGUUGAACUUCGGGAUUUACCCAUUGGUCAGGCUUAAUUGUCUGUACUGGUGAGAUGAAUCUCUACCUUCUGAGGAACUUUCAUGCCAUUUAUUUGGUGUGAUGGGAAAUCAGGACUGUUACUUUGAAAAAAUUAGAGUGUUUAAAGCAGGCUAACGUCUGAAUACAUUAGCAUGGAAUAAUGAAAUAGGACGGACUGAUUCUAUUUCGUUGGUUUCUAGGAUCACCGUAAUGAUUAAUAGGGAUAGUUGGGGGCAUUAGUAUUCAAUUGUCAGAGGUGAAAUUCUUGGAUUUAUUGAAGACUAACUACUGCGAAAGCAUUUGCCAAGGAUGUUUUCAUUAAUCAAGAACGAAAGUUAGGGGAUCGAAGACGAUCAGAUACCGUCGUAGUCUUAACCAUAAACUAUGCCGACUAGGGAUCGGACGAAGUUAAUUUUAUAAUGACGCGUUCGGCACCUUACG
rnacentral:rRNA from 1 species